rnacentral:rRNA from 1 species
UACGGAGGGUGCGAGCGUUGUCCGGAAUCACUGGGCGUAAAGGGCGCGUAGGCGGCUGGGGAAGUCCGUGGUGAAAGCUCGUGGCUCAACUGCGAGUCGGCCAUGGAUACUCCUCGGCUUGAGCACUGUAGAGGCAGGUGGAAUUCCGGGUGUAGCGGUGGAAUGCGUAGAGAUCCGGAAGAACACCGGUGGCGAAGGCGGCCUGCUGGGCAGUAGCUGACGCUGAGGCGCGACAGCGUGGGGAGCAAACAGG